rnacentral:snRNA from 1 species
AUAACUUUCUCGACCUUUUGGCUAAGAUAAAGUACAGUAUUUGUAGUUUAAUAUCUGGAGUGUGGGUCAUGUGUCCAUUUUAAUUUUAAAUUUAUUUUUUGUUAGACGGGUCUACUUUAAUUUUAAUUGGAGAGGGUCCAUCACAUUGUCUUGCCACUCGGACCUAACGUGUCGUACA